AACCCCCAGCUAGGCUGGGGGUUCCGUAAAGCUUCCUUCCAGCUUUGGGGCGGAUAUAAAAACCCCUUUUGAUUUGUUAAAACACCUUGCGGUCUGGCAACUGCAAUGGUCAAACAAGAAAUCAAAAG
rnacentral:sRNA from 1 species